rnacentral:lncRNA from 1 species
CAAAUAUUACUUAUAACAGCGAACAAAGAACAGCACCAUCUCUUUCUCAUAACACCAUAGAUACGGUGGGAUCUGCAAUUUUGAAAAAAAAACCUAGUUACAACCAAAUUGAGCCACACCAUCACAACAAGAUACGAAUUAAGAUAAACCUCGAGAACAACCAGAAAUAUCGUUGAUUUAAAGGUCAAAGGUGUGAUUCCAGAGAUAGGCACUUGUUAGGAAGGGUUGUAACACACUCUGAAAAGAAUUAGUUCCUUACCCAUAGGGUGAGGGAUAUCUUUGGUUAUAUCAGAAAAGUAUUCAAAUAUCUGUAUUGGCUGUAGCGUGUGUAAGCACCGAUGAAAGUGGGAAAUUGGUACAGCUUUAGAGGGAUACAUGUUUCCCUAGCUCUCGUUGCUCUUAUUAUUUUUACUUCAUUACUAUGGACAUGGGAGAACAAUCCAAUAGUUACUACUUUAAGAUCUACUCAAGAGGGGUACCACAUGCCUUCAGAAUUUCCUGUGGAAGUCCCAGUUGAUUCAGUGGAAACUACAAAGGUGGAAAAAAGUGAGGAAAAAUCUGUAGCUCCUAUUAAAGAAAACAUAACGAAACUGGAACUUGAUAUUGUGCGUCCACCAGCUGUAGAUUCUAUACCCGCAGAAUCUCCAAAAGUUCAAUACAAUCAAGAUGUCAGGUCUUCUUCCAAAGGCGGAGGAGGUAGAUUCUUAUUCGUGUUCUUUUCUUGAAUUCAUUACAACGCAUUUUUUCCUGGUAUUGCACAAAGCCACAAACUGGAAACAGUAUCUCCACAAAGUGGAGGUAAGGCUGCGUACAUCUACCUUCCUCAGACCCCACUAAGUGGGAGCCUUGUGCAUUGG